ACAAAUGAUGGAAAUGUGUCAUGGACCAAGGAUUAUCAUUAAUUCCAGUUCUGAGAACCUGAGGUAAUGU
rnacentral:snoRNA from 1 species